GACGAACGCUGGCGGCGUGCUUAACACAUGCAAGUCGAACGGAAAGGCCCCUUUGGGGGUACUCGAGUGGCGAACGGGUGAGUAACACGUGAGUAACCUGCCCUUGACUUCGGGAUAACUUCAGGAAACUGGGGCUAAUACCGGAUAGGAAUCCUUUCUGCAUGUUGGGGGUUGUAAAGCUUCUGCGGUUUUGGAUGUACUCGCGGGUUAUCUUCUUGUUGGUGGGGUAGUGGGUUACCAAGGCUUUUACGGGUAGCCGGCCUGAGAGGGCGACCGGCCAAAUUGGGACUGAGAUACGGCCCAGACUCCUACGGGAGGCAGAAGGGGGGAAUAUUGCACAAUGGGCGGAAGCCUGAUGCAGAAAAGCCGCGUGCGGGAUGACGGCCUUCGGGUUGUAAACCGCUUUCAGAAGGGGAGAAGCUUGUGGUGACGGUACCUGCAGAAGAAGCACCGGCUAACUACGUG
rnacentral:rRNA from 1 species